rnacentral:rRNA from 1 species
GACGAACGCUGGCGGCGUGCUUAACACAUGCAAGUCGAGCGGUAAGGCCCUUCGGGGUACACGAGCGGCGAACGGGUGAGUGACACGUGGGUGACCUGCCUCUAGCUCUGGGAUAAGCCUGGGAAACUGGGUCUAAUACCGGAUAUGACUCCACGGCGCAUGUUGUGGGGUGGAAAGCCUUGUGUGGCUAGAGAUGGGCCCGCGGCCUAUCAGCUUGUUGGUGGGGGAUGGCCUACCAAGGCGACGACGGGUAGCCGGCCUGA